GCCAGUGUGGUGUACUGGUUUGAGAGGUGGACUAUGACUCUGGAGAUCCUGGGUUCGAUUCCCAGCUUGGCCA